rnacentral:lncRNA from 1 species
GUCAGACUCAGUAUUGACAAGGUCAGGGGAAGGAGAGAGAAAUGUGAGCCAGUCUGAUCAGAGAGGACUUUCAAGAGAAAAUGGAACUUGAGUAGGAUCUUGAAGGAUUUAAUACAGAUGAGGAAAAAGGCAGAACUUCUGGGUAACAAAACAGACUUGAAAAAAGAGACCGGAAUGAGGUAGCAAGAUCUUGGGACAAUAGGACAUUGACACUUUAAUCCCUUUCAGUUUCCUAAUGGUAAGUUGGGGGUGCAAAAGAGUGUUCUAGUAGUGGAACAUUUACCUUUUUGACCAUCCAUCCAUCCAUCUAUCCAUCUACCCACCACCUGUCCACCUACCCAUCCACCUAUCCAUCCAUUCACCCAUCACCCACCUACCCAUCCAUUCAUCCAUCCAUCCAACCCACCCUACCAACCUCAGUUUAAAUGCUAAGUCUGCAAAGGUAAAUAAGAUGGCCUCCAUCACCAGUAGUUCUCUUCACAAUCCCCUUCAGCUCUUCUAUUCGACUCUGUGCUAUUACAUAUCCUAAGUGCAGGUAGCACUAUCUGUUUAUAGUUGAGCCAAUUAGCUGUACAGGUUUUAUUUAGUCAUUCUGUAAAGCCAAUGAAGGAGGAGGAAAGAAACAGAUUCACUGGAUACCAUCUACCUAUCAGUCAUUUUACUAGGGAUUUGUUGUUCAGUUUUCUUGCUGAAUCUGGUAAAGAAGGCAUUAUUGGGGCUGGGGUUGUGGCUCAGUGGUAGAGCACUCAGCACGUGCAGGGCGCUGGGAUCCUCAGCUUCACAUAAAAAUAAAAUAAAGGUAUUGUG